rnacentral:rRNA from 1 species
UACGUAGGGUCCGAGCGUUGUCCGGAAUUAUUGGGCGUAAAGAGCUUGUAGGUGGCUCGUUGCGUCGGGAGUGAAAACCUGCGGCUUAACCGCAGGCCUGCUUCCGAUACGGGCGAGCUAGAGUUCGGCAGGGGAGACUGGAAUUCCUGGUGUAGCGGUGAAAUGCGCAGAUAUCAGGAGGAACACCGGUGGCGAAGGCGGGUCUCUGGGCCGAUAUUGACGCUGAGGAGCGAAAGCGUGGGGAGCAAACAGG